rnacentral:rRNA from 1 species
AUGUCGGCCUAGCACGUGCCGGCGAUGCGCAGGAGGCUGGAGGACGACGCGCGGGCGCCCGACCCGGCGGCGGCGUUCCCGCCAAGAGAAAGCACGACGAGGUCGCCGGUGCCGGCGGUGAAGGGGCACUCGCGCUUGUUGUGGAGCACGUGGGUGACGGCCACGGCAGUGGGGUUGGCCACGUCGGCGCCGGUCCUGCCAGCCGUCCUGCCAGCCGCCGCGGCGGCACGCAGCCUAGUGCGCCCAUCGAGGGACGCCACCUCGGCCGGCCCCACCCUGCACGCGGUCGGGCAGACCUGCCAGAAUGGGAAGUCGAAUGCCUCGGCCUCGACGGCGUCGGCGCGGGAGAAGACGAACGCCCCGCACAUGGCCGCGCAUACCUGCCAGAGCGGGAAGUCGAACGACUCGGCCUCGACGGCGUCUGCGCGGGAGAAGAUGAACGGAGGCGAUGGUGACGUCUUGAGGAAGAGGAUGGAGAGGGCAUGA